rnacentral:rRNA from 1 species
GCAAGUCGAACGACGUGCUUUCCUUCGGGAAAGAAUACGAGUGGCAAACGGGUGAGUAACACACUGGUAACCUACCUCUAAGUCAAGGAUAGCCCACCGAAAGGUGGAUUAAUACUUGAUGGUCAUACAAAUACUUAUGUAUUAGUAUGUAAAGAUUUAUCGCUUAGAGAGGGGCCUAUGGCUGAUUAGUUUGUUGGUGGGGUAAAAGCCUACCAAGACUAUGAUCAGUAGCAGGCGUGAGAGCGUGACC